rnacentral:rRNA from 1 species
UACGGAGGAUGCAAGCGUUAUCCGGAUUUAUUGGGUUUAAAGCGUGCGUAGGCGGAAUAUUCAGUCAGUGGUGAAAUCCUGCAGCUUAACUGUGGAACUGCCAUUGAUACUGGUAAUCUUGAGUGUAGUUGAGGUGAGCGGAAUGUGUAGUGUAGCGGUGAAAUGCUUAGAUAUUACACAGAACACCAAUUGCGUAGGCAGCUCACUAAACUAUAACUGACGCUGAGGCACGAAAGCGUGGGGAUCGAACAGG